rnacentral:rRNA from 1 species
AAAGAUUAAGCCAUGCAUGUCUAAGUAUAAGCAACUAUACUGUGAAACUGCGAAUGGCUCAUUAAAUCAGUUAUCGUUUAUUUGAUAGUGCCCUUUACUACUUGGAUAACCGUGGUAAUUCUAGAGCUAAUACAUGCAUCAAGCCUCGACUUCGGGAGAGGCGUAUUUAUUAGAUAAAAAACCAACGCCCUUCGGGGCUGCUUGGUGAGUCAUGAUAACGCAACGAAUUGCAUGGCCUUGCGCCGGCGAUGGUUCAAUCAAAUUUCUGCCCUAUCAACUUUCGAUUGUAGUUUAGUGGACUACAAUGGUUUCAACGGGUAACGGGGAAU